rnacentral:lncRNA from 1 species
GGAUGAGAUUGGUUUCUAAUUGAUUUAGAAAUUGAUUCCAGGGUCAGUGGUUUUAGAGGAUGCACCAGAAAUAACUUGCAUAGUGAAGCUUUGUGUAAUAAUCACUCUUUUGACAUUUUCUCCUUUCCAGUUUUUAUUUUUAAGUGUAUAUAAAAUUUCUCAGCCAUCUGGUGCUCAUGGUACUUAAAAGGCCAAUUUUCUAUUUUUAGCUUUUGUGGGUUUGAGCAAUACUUCCAAGUUCAAACCCCACUUGUAUUUGUGAAACCAAGAGAUGCAUUAAGCUUAGUGGCUGUAUUAAAACAGUCUUCUAUUUAUUCAUGCCCGAUUAAGGAAGGGCUGGUGCCCGAGUCAUCCCAGGGCAGUUCCAGAUCACAUGUGCAUCAAGACUAUGUGACAUUUAGAUGUCUCGGGUCACCCCAAGCAAAUUUGGCAAAUAACCAUGAUGUUUGAGGACCAGAGACUAUUACAUAAUCAUCCUUCAGUGGAGACAAUGAGGUCACAUGUUUACCCAUCUAAUCGAUGAUCAGGGACAUGUUUCAUUGCAGAUAAUGUGCUCACUGGCCCACAACUUAAUUACUGAGUGUCUGAAUCAACAAAGCUUUCAGAUGUAGGUCUUGCCUAAUGGUGCAUCUGUUAAAGAUCAUUGCCUCAGUUUGGCCUCUAAAAGAAAGGUCUGGGGGAUACAACAGGCCAUUGCCAGUGCUGUUCUCAAUGACCUCUCAUUGAAAAACAUGCCAGUUCCCACGGUUUAUUUUCUAGCCAGCAAUAGACAUUAUUGUGUAUAUGCAGGGCCAAG